rnacentral:rRNA from 1 species
UACGUAGGGUCCGAGCGUUGUCCGGAAUUACUGGGCGUAAAGCGCGCGCAGGCGGCCCGCGAGGUGUCACGUCGAAAGCCCCCGGGCUCAACCCGGGAGGGUCGUGGCAAAGCCGGCGGGCUUGAGGCCGGUAGAGGUGGGUGGAACUCCUGGUGGAGUGGUGAAAUGCGUAGAGAUCAGGAGGAACACCGGUGGCGAAGGCGGCGAUCUGGGUAGAUACUGACGCUGAGGUGCGAAAGCGUGGGGAGCAAACAGG